AUUGAACGCUGGCGGCAUGCCUUACACAUGCAAGUCGAACGGCAGCGCGGGAGCAAUCCUGGCGGCGAGUGGCGAACGGGUGAGUAAUACAUCGGAACGUGCCCAAUCGUGGGGGAUAACGCAGCGAAAGCUGUGCUAAUACCGCAUACGAUCUACGGAUGAAAGCAGGGGAUCGCAAGACCUUGCGCGAAUGGAGCGGCCGAUGGCAGAUUAGGUAGUUGGUGAGGUAAAGGCUCACCAAGCCUUCGAUCUGUAGCUGGCCUGAGAGGACGACCAGCCACACUGGGACUGAGACACGGCCCAGACUCCUACGGGAGGCAGCAGUGGGGAAUUUUGGACAAUGGGCGAAAGCCUGAUCCAGCCAUGCCGCGUGCAGGAUGAAGGCCUUCGGGUUGUAAACUGCUUUUGUACGGAACGAAACGGUCUUUUCUAAUAAAGAAGGCUAAUGACGGUACCGUAAGAAUAAGCACCGGCUAACUACGUG
rnacentral:rRNA from 1 species